CCGCGGGUUUGUUGGCCUGGUUCAAUGAGAGGGUCCCAACUCUGGACAAGGCACGGUGCCUUCCGAAGGUACCGCGUCUCUUUCGGUGGCUGAAUAGCCUCGGUCCAAUGUCCAGGGUUCAUGCAGUUGAUGAACUGACUUCCAUAAAGCGGUCCGAUGUUCAGGAAUUCUAUCGGAUAGGCACGGAAGAAAAGUUCGUUCGUGCAAUUUGUCAUGCUUCAGAGGAAGCAGCGCAGGAAAUUGCGGCUUUGAAGGUGGAGCUGCGGAAGAAAGACACUGCAAUUGCCAGACUUGCU